rnacentral:lncRNA from 10 species
GAGAUGAACGAUUGAAACAGAAAGCAGAGUCGCUGAAACUUGAAAACUGUGAGAAACUUUCCAAACUCAUUGGCCUACGCAGAGGUGGCUGAGAGGAUAAUGGUCCUACGCAGGGCUGGGGUUUUGCUACUUGUUCCUAUUUAUGUUCCUGAUUCCAUUUUAUAAUACAAAACUAGAAUGUGGCAAAACUGGCAGCUUCCAUUUUUGUACUUGGAGGGAAGCCAGCUACCAUGUAAAUUCAACUACCUGAGACCACUACACUAACCAAAGGAGAAGCCAUGCAGAAGAGAACCCAGCAACCAAGCUGACAGCAAGAACUGAGGACCCAAACACAUAAUUCAAGUUGAGCCAUUUGUGUUACCCCAGAUGAUGGGCAGAGCAGAAAUGUGCUGCCCCACCAAGUCCUGCUCAGUCUGCAGAAUUGUGAGCAAAUAAUAAAAUGAUUGCAGCC